ensembl:lncRNA
GGGGGGGGGGGGGCUCAUAUCUGAUGACACUCGCCACCUCUCCUGCAGCUCGAGCUUGAGGAGACUUGAUGCCCAGAAUGGAGCUCGAGGCCCAGAGAAGUGGAGAAGAAGCGAGACAGCGCUCACCCAAGUUGCCAGAUCGUUUCCAUCGGCGGAGAAGACCUAAUUCACCCCAGGCUAUUAAUACCAAGAUAAUAACCUUGAUGAAUGACCCCGCGAGGGGCCCUGAGCCCUCUGCACGGAGGAAAGCUGCGCGGCGCACAACUGCUGUACUCGGGAGAUUGUGUGUGAAUCGGUUACAGUGCACUUUAUUCUACAAUCCUUCUGUGCUGUGGACGCUUUGCAGUUGUGUCACAAAGCCCCUCUCAGCCACGACUGGAGUCCCAAUGUGCAAAUUAGAAAGUAUAAAAGCCAAGGAGAGAAAUAGAUAUUUAACAUUUGUUAGCGUUGUAGUUACUCGCUCAUGAGAUUUCUUUCCCAACAACUGUGAGAGAAAAGAAAAUAUAUUUAAAUUAGAUGCAAUAUAUUUGCCGUGAUAAAUUCUGCAUCUUACUUAUUUGUAAGUAUGUUUAUUUAGCUACCUCUGAUUUCAGAUUAAAUUCAAUCACAUAUUCAGUUUCAUUUUAAGCAAAGCAAAUCUAUUUUUAGUUUUGUUCGUGUGAAAGCUCAUUCUUGACCUCGGGAACAGCCGUUUGAUGAAUUAAUCUUUAAUCGUGCACUAAUAUAUCAGCGAACAACAUGCAGGGGAGACUGGUCUACCGGAGCAGAGAACGACUGUGGAAGCCCGAGGUUUUCCUUUCCUUGUUGCACAGCAGAGUCGUCCCGCGUGCCUCCGAAGCGGUUCGCUGGUGGCCGACACUCUGCACUGCGCUCUGACGGUGUCAUGGCGGGAAUAACGUCAAACACCGCCUGCUCGUGUGCUGGUGAAGAUUGUGAGGCCAAGAACACUGAGAAGCAGGUAGUAGUUGGACCCUCAGUUAAGGUUUGUAAAAUCAUUUUGUUAAUCUAGUUCAAAUAUAUUUGAAACUACUAAAAUAAAUUAAUAUGUAUAUGUCUAUUGCAAAUGAAUAUAAUAUAUUAUACAAUUCUCAAGGCAUGUCAGUCCACAUGCUUUUUUUGAUUACCUCCAGAUGCAGAUACAUCUUCAUUCAGCUUAAAGGUGUUUGGAAGAUCCCAUAAAUAGAAAAGGAAUUUGAAAUUCAUGAUAUUCAAAAAACAUCAGUUAGUUGUAUUUUUAAUUGUUUUAGCCGCGUAGCUGGCAGCAGGCUCAUUUCUGCUUAGCAGCUGGUAUUAAACAUGGAC